GACGUACGCUGGCGGCGCGCCUAAUACAUGCAGGUCGAGCGUGAAGCGGGACUUCGGUCCCGUGGAAAGCGGCGAACGGGUGCGUAACACGUGAGCAACCUGCCCCGAAGACCGGGAUAACACCGGGAAACCGGUGCUAAUACCGGAUGUCCUCUUCCGACCGCAUGAUUGGACGAGGAAAUGGAUUCCGCUUCGGGAUGGGCUCGCGGUCUAUCAGCUUGUUGGUGGGGUAACGGCCUACCAAGGCGACGACGGAUAGCUGGUCUGAGAGGACGAUCAGCCACACUGGGACUGAGACACGGCCCAGACUCCUACGGGAGGCAGCAGUAGGGAAUCUUGCGCAAUGGGCGAAAGCCUGACGCAGCGACGCCGCGUGCGGGAUGAAGGUCUUCGGAUUGUAAACCGCUUUCAGCAGGGACGAAAUUGACGGUACCUGCAGAAGAAGGCCCGGCCAACUACGUGCCAGCCGCCGCAGUAAUAC
rnacentral:rRNA from 1 species